GGUAGUGAGACUAUAUUGCAAGGCUUGUAUCUUGGUUGUCCGCAAAAUUUGCAUCCAGUUAAAGUACUACCUUCCUCCCAAUAUAUCAUACAAUCAAAUUUGCAGCAGUCAAUUUUUCCACAGUUAGACCCAACCCUCGUACAAGCUUUUUUUGUCUUGCAAAAACUGUCAACAAACUAAUUUUCAUCUAGUAAUACUUCAUUCACAAAAUUCACAAUUUGGUGGUAGCAUUUUUCGGACAAAUGAUUUUUCGACUUAAUAUGCAACCCGAGCUACGGCAGACAAUUGUGAAUGCAUCUCACAACCAGACCACAAUUCCUCUUUAGCUGCUUUUAGCAUGUCAUAAAAUUUUUGUGCUUUUAGAUUCGAUAGGUCUUCCAUAUUAUUUCAAAGGAGCAUCAGCUGCAAUGUUUUCAAAAUGAGGACCAACAACAUCAAACACCAUAUUACGGCAUGGGUUAUUGUCGCCCUGGAAACGUUCUUGACUUGGUACAUUGACCUCAUUAGCAUAUGUUGAAGAACUCAAUGAUUCACCUUGUGCACUCCAUUCUAGAUAAUUCAGUCUAAACCCCUUACUAACAAAAUGAAAUUUGACAUCAUCCACAGG
rnacentral:misc_RNA from 1 species